rnacentral:rRNA from 1 species
CAGCAGCCGCGGGAAUACGUAGGUCCCGAGCGUUGUCCGGAUUUAUUGGGCGUAAAGGGAGCGCAGGCGGUUUAGUAAGUCUGAAGUUAAAGGCAUUGGCUCAACCAAUGUAUGCUUUGGAAACUGUUAGACUUGAGUGCAGAAGGGGAGAGUGGAAUUCCAUGUGUAGCGGUGAAAUGCGUAGAUAUAUGGAGGAACACCGGUGGCGAAAGCGACUCUCUGGUCUGUCACUGACGCUGAGGCUCGAAAGCGUGAGUAGCGAACAGGAUUAGAUACCCCAGUAGUCCCUGUCUCUUAUACA